rnacentral:rRNA from 1 species
GGCAACAGCUCAAAUUUGAAAUCUGGCCUCUUUCGGGGUCCGAGUUGUAAUUUGGAGAGGAUGUUUCGGGUACGGUCCGGGCUUAAAUUUCUUGGAACAGAAUGUCACGGAGGGUGAGAAUCCCGUCUGGAGCUCGGACACGGCCUAUGUGAAACUCCUUCGACGAGUCGAGUUGUUUGGGAAUGCAGCUCUAAAUGGGUGGUAAAUUUCAUCUAAAGCUAAAUAUUGGCCAGAGACCGAUAGCGCACAAGUAGAGUGAUCGAAAGAUGAAAAGCACUUUGAAAAGAGAGUUAAACAGUACGUGAAAUUGUUGAAAGGGAAGCGCUGGCAACCAGACUUGCGCGUCGGGGUUCCCCCUUGCUUCUGCCUGGGUUACUCCCCGGCGUUCAGGCCAACAUCGGUUUUGGGGGUUGGUUAAAGGCCCUGGGAAUGUACCUACCCUCCGGGGUAGACUUAUAGCCCAGGGUGUCAUGCGACCUCCCGGGACCGAGGAACGCGCUUCGGCUCGGAUGUUGGCGUAAUGGUUGUCAGCGACCCGUCUUGAAACACGGACCAAGGAGUCUAACAUCUAUGCGAGUGUUAGGGUGUCAAACCCUUACGCGGAAUGAAAGUGAACGGAGGUAGGAAGCCUUUAGGCUGCACUAUCGACCGAUCCUGAAGUUUACGGAUGGAUUUGAGUAAGAGCAUAGCUGUUGGGACCCGAAAGAUGGUGAACUAUGCCUGAAUAGGGUGAAGCCAGAGGAAACUCUGGUGGAGGCUCGCA